rnacentral:rRNA from 1 species
AGAGUUUGAUCCUGGCUCAGGAUGAACGCUGGCUACAGGCUUAACACAUGCAAGUCGAGGGGAAACGAUAUUGGAAGCUUGCUUCCGAUAGGCGUCGACCGGCGCACGGGUGAGUAACGCGUAUCCAACCUGCCCAUCACUUGGGGAUAACCUUGCGAAAGUAAGACUAAUACCCAAUGAUAUCUCUAGAAGACAUCUGAAGGAGAUUAAAGAUUUAUCGGUGAUGGAUGGGGAUGCGUCUGAUUAGCUUGUUGGCGGGGUAACGGCCCACCAAGGCGACGAUCAGUAGGGGUUCUGAGAGGAAGGUCCCCCACAUUGGAACUGAGACACGGUCCAAACUCCUACGGGAGGCAGCAGUGAGGAAUAUUGGUCAAUGGACGAGAGUCUGAACCAGCCAAGUAGCGUGCAGGAUGACGGCCCUAUGGGUUGUAAACUGCUUUUAUAAGGGAAUAAAGUGGGAGUCGUGACUCUUUUUGCAUGUACCUUAUGAAUAAGGACCGGCUAAUUCCGUGCCAGCAGCCGCGGUAAUACGGAAGGUCCGGGCGUUAUCCGGAUUUAUUGGGUUUAAAGGGAGCGUAGGCCGGAGAUUAAGCGUGUUGUGAAAUGUAGAUGCUCAACAUCUGCACUGCAGCGCGAACUGGUUUCCUUGAGUACGCACAAAGUGGGCGGAAUUCGUGGUGUAGCGGUGAAAUGCUUAGAUAUCACGAAGAACUCCGAUUGCGAAGGCAGCUCACUGGAGCGCAACUGACGCUGAAGCUCGAAAGUGCGGGUAUCGAACAGGAUUAGAUACCCUGGUAGUCCGCACGGUAAACGAUG